GUCAACGACCCUGGCCUGAAGGCCUGGGUUUGAGGUGGCGUACCGCGCACCGAUGGCCCCGCGUUGACCAGCCCGAGUCAUCAGCUCAAGGAGGUGCCUUUUGAUGACUACGUUUCCUAUGAGUGAGAAGACCCACCAAGCCGUGCUUCCUCAGCGGCUUGCUCUGGAAUCGGUGGGAGCAGACAACCCCGGGGGUGGGGACGAAACGGCUCACCGACUCCCGGCCAUGCCGGGCACUGGCUUGGAACAUGGGCGAGGGGAGAUCGAG
rfam:Streptosporangium subroseum strain CGMCC 4.2132 genome assembly, contig: Ga0079903_1047